CCCUAGUAACUGCGAGUGAAGCGGGAAAAGCUCAAAUUUAAAAUCUGGCAGCCUUUGGUUGUCCGAGUUGUAACCUAGAGAAGUGUUAUCCGUGUUGGACCGUGUUUAAGUCUCCUGGAAUGGAGCGUCAUAGAGGGUGAGAAUCCCGUCUUUGACACGGACUGCCAAUGCAUUGUGAUGCGCUCUCAAAGAGUCGAGUUGUUUGGGAAUGCAGCUCAAAAUGGGUGGUAAAUUCCAUCUAAAGCUAAAUAUUGGCGAGAGACCGAUAGCGAACAAGUACCGUGAGGGAAAGAUGAAAAGAACUUUGGAAAGAGAGUUAAACAGUACGUGAAAUUGCUGAAAGGGAAACGCUUGAAGUCAGUCGCGUUGGCCAGGAAUCAACCUUGCUUCUGCUGGGUGUACUUUCUGGUUGACGGGUCAGCAUCAAUUUUGAUUGUUGGAGAAAGUUCAGAGGAAUGUGGCAUCUUCGGAUGUGUUAUAGCCUUUGUUCGUAUACAACAGUUGGGAUUGAGGAACUCAGCACGCCGAAAGGCCGGGUUUCGACCACGUUCGUGCUUAGGAUGCUGGCAUAAUGGCUUUAAUCGACCCGUCUUGAAACACGGACCAAGGAGUCUAACAUGCCUGCGAGUGUUUGGGUGGAAAACCCGAGCGCGUAAUGAAAGUGAAAGUUGAGAUCCCUGUCGCGGGGAGCAUCGACGCCCGGACCAGACCUCUUGUGACGGUUCCGCGGUAGAGCAUGUAUGUUGGGACCC
rnacentral:rRNA from 1 species